GACGAACGCUGGCGGCGUGCUUAACACAUGCAAGUCGAACGGAAAGGCCCUGCUUUUGUGGGGUGCUCGAGUGGCGAACGGGUGAGCAACACGUGAGUAACCUGCCCUUGACUUUGGGAUAACUUCAGGAAACUGGGGCUAAUACCGGAUAGGAGCUCCUGCUGCAUGGUGGGGGUUGGAAAGUUUCGGCGGUUGGGGAUGGACUCGCGGCUUAUCAGCUUGUUGGUGGGGUAGUGGCUUACCAAGGCUUUGACGGGUAGCCGGCCUGAGAGGGUGACCGGCCACAUUGGGGCUGAGAUACGGCCCAGACUCCUACGGGAGGCAGCAGUGGGGAAUAUUGCACAAUGGGCGGAAGCCUGAUGCAGCAACGCCGCGUGCGGGAUGACGGCCUUCGGGUUGUAAACCGCUUUCGCCUGUGACGAAGCGUGAGUGACGGUAAUGGGUAAAGAAGCACCGGCUAACUACGUG
rnacentral:rRNA from 1 species